UACGAAGGGGGGCUAGCGUUGCUCGGAAUCACUGGGCGUAAAGCGCACGUAGGCGGCUUUCUAAGUCAGGGGUGAAAUCCUGGAGCUCAACUCCAGAACUGCCUUUGAUACUGGAGAGCUUGAGUCCGGAAGAGGUGAGUGGAACUCCGAGUGUAGAGGUGAAAUUCGUAGAUAUUCGGAAGAACACCAGUGGCGAAGGCGGCUCUCUGGGACGGUACUGACGCUGAGACGCGGAAAGCGUGGGGAGCGAACGAGG
rnacentral:rRNA from 1 species